rnacentral:hammerhead_ribozyme from 1 species
ACCCAGCUGACGAGUUCCAAAUAGGACGAGACUUGCAUCCUGGAU